rnacentral:misc_RNA from 1 species
GCGCGCCCCCAGUCGUGAGCGGCGCAGACACGCACACGCGCACACGAGGCACUCACAUGUGCACGUGCUGGCACUCAUACUCGUGCCCUGGGAAGACGCAAUGCGGCGAAUCGUCGCCGGCAGGUGUCUGUGCGGCUUGGGCGGCAGAGAUGGUGCGGCCGCGUCCGCAUCGUCUAGGCUCUGUUUAUUUUGCUGUGGGUUGCCGUCCCCGAGUUGCGGAUGCGGCGGCACAGAUUUUGUGUUGCCGCACGGCGGUGACGGCCGUGAGUGUGUGUGCGGCAGGCGUGGCCCCUCGCCGUCACCGCAAAAUCCGUGGAAUAGUCUGGAAGGCCUCUUGGUUGGUGUGCGCGCGACGCACCCGGCGAACGUCUUCGAGGACCGCCCCGUGGCUCUCGGACGGCUCCUGAGCAGAUUGUCGGAGACAACCUACAAGGCGGAGCUGCUCGGUAUUGGCAAGAGGGGUUGCGGCGGCGAUGAACGCCGCGGCGAUGCUGCGCAGCUGCCGACGGUGGAUGCUGGCACGCGGGUGACGGUCAGGAUGGAGGGCGAACCCGCCAGCGCAGCCGCGGUGGGGCAGCCCGCCGUGCACAUGAAGGGCACUAUCGCCAAGGUGAACGGCAAUGCUACCUGCAUUAUACUGAUGGAGAACGGCGAAGUCGAACUCUCUGUGGCACCCGAGCGCAUUGUGGAGCUGCAGUCGCGGAAGAAGCUGCUCCACAGCGCGAGGCUGGUUGCGCUGGUAAGCUGGCUGCGCUCCUGCGUGCACGACCCGCGCGACGUGGAGGCCAUCGCGCUCGUCCUGUUUAGCCGCGGCUGGCGGGCGGAGAGGAUGUACCUGCUGGAAAGCGUGGAUCUCCUGCCCUUUGUGUUUGUGUCGAGGGUCGAACUGGACAGUAUUAGCGAGAAGGCGCAGUGGGAGCGCGACCACCACAAGGCGAUGCGCAUGCUGCGCCGCGAGCGGGUGAAGGAUAAGAAUUUUCGCUAUGCCCUGGCCAAGUACAAGGGCACCAUGAGCUGCAUUGCCGGCGUGCUUGUGGUUGGUUACGUGUUCACGGCGAACCUGCGCGCGUACCGGCGGCAGCAGCGGGGCCAUCAGCUCCGCACAGCCAUCGAGACCCUCUCGAAGGCUGCCCGGCCGUCGAAGGAGGAGGGUGUGCUCGCGGCGGACGAGGAAGCGCUUGUGCGCAGUGUGCUGACGCAGAUGGCGCCGUCGCAUCCCCGCAUCGUGGCCGUCGCCGGUGGCUCUGGCGGCGGCGGGUGUGUGCCGUGUCGCCGCGCGGUACGCGUGGAUGGGGUGCCGCUGGUUCACGUCGACGUCGGCGGCACGGAGGACACCCUGCGCUGUGUUGUGAAGGCCCUGGGGGUGAGCAAUGUGGAGGUGUGCGGCGACCUGUUGGGUUUUGUGGAGGAGGCCAUGCGGGGCGCGACCGUGCAGGGCAGCGACGGCGUUCCAUUCUUGGUGAUGAGGCUGCGCGAGGGCAGCGACCUGGGCAGGGUGUACGGCGAGGUGGUGAGCCUGGUGAGCGACUGCCAGGCCUGCCAUGUGAUCCUGGAGGUGCCCGUGCAUUCUCUGACCCCCUUGAACGUGUCGUUGCGGAGGCUGGAUUUUUACUGCAUUCCACCCUUCUCCCGCCGGCAGGCGUUCGCCUACACGGAGCACGCGCUGGACGCGCUGGACCUGGUGUACUUUGUGGAGGUGGUGGGGACGCGCGGCAGCGACGUCGACGAGCUGUGCGCUGCGCUGCGCCAGCGCGGCGUGGACCCGGUCGCGUACACGAGCCUCAUGCUUGUGAGGGCGAUGCGUCGGCUGCAGGCUGCGCUGGGGCCACCCGGCUCGCCUGCGCGUGCGGCGAUCCGGCAGCUCGCCUCCAUGCCAUUCGCCGACGGCGUGCGCGAUGACGCGACUGGAGCGAUGUCGGUGCUCGGGCAGCCAGGUGUGCGGGAGAUGGUGCUGUACGAUCCGGUGCAGGACGAGUGGCGGUUCGCGCAGCAGGUGUACCACACCGCGGCGCGCUGCAUUUUGGUCUAGUGUGUGUAGACGCGACCGGUGCGUGCGAGCUGAGGGCGGUGCCUCGACUUCUGCCUGAGCGCUUGUGCGGAGAUCGAUGUGGCUGCGCUGCCUUCACCGCCGUGUGUUGAGGGGCAGCUGUUGGAGGCACCGCCCACCGCACGGCGACGUGGCUGCUGACAGCUGCGUGCGUAUGCUCUGGCGAAGGUACGCCCUGGGCAGGGAAUGCUGCCGGCCAGCUCUCGGGCACUCCUUCUCGUGGUUGCCUCGGCCUCUCCGUCCCAGGCCAGCAGGUGGGUGCGCCAGUCCCUGCGCACGAACGCGGGUACACCCGAGUCCAUCAUGCCGGGUUCCACUGACCCCACUCCCUUCGACCCCUCUCUCACGCCAUCGGAAGCGUGCCAUACAUGUGCGGUCUGUUUGCGGAUGUGGUCUCGAUGGCGCCGCUGGGGUUGAGCUGCGAUCUCGGGGGUCCACCGCGGUGAUGAGACGAAGAGGGCCCAGGAGGGAUGGUUGUGCGGCUCGGCAUGCAGGCGUUGCGAUCUUCGACUUGUUCUUGUGGGCGGCGCGAACAACGAGGGUGGGGCGAUGGUCUGGCAAAGCCGUGAUGCACAGCGAGUGUGGUGCGGGCCGCGGCUGUCUCUGUGCCCCUUGCUGGCGCGGCACUGGCUUGUUGGGGACCAGGCCCAGGGAGUCUACCGCGGAGCGGGGUGAGGACGGAGGCUGUAGUGGGGCGGUUGGAGCCUGUCUCGCAGAACGGUCGCGCAGUCGUCGCGAGGCGAUCUGCUCAAGGGGCUUUCGCGCCGGUCGCUGGCCAGCGUGACAGGGCGUGGCGGAGUGAUACCGCAGCAGGACUGCAUCCAUCCCUCGAGGCUGGCUGUAUGAUGAGCAUGACCGAGAGACAGCGGCGCGCAGGGCAGCGUCGCAAGAGCUGCUUCCAAUCGCGUCAGCUCUGGCGUGCAGAGCGCUGCGUAGGCGGCGUCGCCAGAGGGACCCGCCUUCGUGGGUGUUGUCGGCCGCAGUCGUGCAUUUUGCAGUGGCCUUGCGGGACACCUGGCAGGCGUGCGUCUGCGUGGCUGACUCCUAGGUGUUCGGCCGGACGUGGUGUGCAUGCGCCUAGCAUGGACGUGGCAGCACAGCCGGAACGCCGCUGCCUCGCUCUUGUCGUUGGGAAGCGGGCGAGGGCGUACACCUGUGCCCCGUGUCGUGGUGUGCGAGCGCGGGGACGCCAGCCCGGUGCCUCCUCUCUCUUGCUGCACCGGGAUGCUGAGACGCUGGUACGCCAGGUGCCCUGUGGGGCCUGUGGGAGUGAACUGCACGUCUUGCAGAAUGCAGACCCCUGUGCCGACGCUUCGUGACGGGCGCGGGCCAGCCAACAGCGCUGUGCGUCGCUGCGCCCACUGCAGUUGAACUGCGUCCGGCGCUGGCGGGGCCACGGGCUGUGCCCUGCAUCAGCGCUUCGCUUGCAAAAUCAGAAAACAGGAUGGGGGGCGCAUACCCGUUGAAUCGCACGCGAGCCUGUUUGGUGACAUCGCCUGCCGUCCGUGAUGCAGACAAUGGAGGCUGAAAUACCUCUGUGCGGUGUGGCUGGCAUGGUGAGGCGAGGCCCAUGAGCGCGACAGAAGGAGAAAACAGGGACACGCCGGGCGUGCUAUGACUGCGUUCGGCGCGAGGUGGCUGCACAGCACCGUACAAGUGGCGCAGGAGUGUGUCAGCGAGGGAGAGAGAGGCGAUGCCGGUGAUGAGGGGCGUGGGAGGCGAUGCAGCGCGUGCCAGAGGGGGGUAGCGAGAAAUGCCCCCCUCCCCUCUCCCCCCGUCCUCUCUCGCUUGGCCCCCUCGCCUGCGCUCCCGUGUCUCCCUCGCUGCCGUUGCGGCCCGUCUCUCGCAUCCGCCGGCCGCACCCCUGCCUAUGUGCCAGCCAAUGGCCCAUGCGCCCCCGCUGUGCACGCGCCCCAGUGCCACUUGCCUGUCUCGUCACCACUGCCUCCCCCGCCUGUCUCUCCCCGUCUAUCCGUCCCUCUCUUCCUCCCCCCUGCACACUGCUGCCCACGCCGCCCAUCCCUCCUCGGCCCCUCACAACACACCCGCACACAACAACACGCCCAACAACAACGCGUGUGCGCGCACGCCACCGCAACACAG